rnacentral:rRNA from 1 species
AGAGUUUGAUCAUGGCUCAGAACGAACGCUGGCGGCAUGCCUAACACAUGCAAGUCGAACGAAGCCUUCGGGGCUUAGUGGCGCACGGGUGCGUAACGCGUGGGAAUCUGCCCUUAGGUACGGAAUAACUCAGGGAAACUUGUGCUAAUACCGUAUGAUGUCGAGAGACCAAAGAUUUAUCGCCUAGGGAUGAGCCCGCGUAGGAUUAGCUAGUUGGUGGGGUAAAGGCCUACCAAGGCGACGAUCCUUAGCUGGUCUGAGAGGAUGAUCAGCCACACUGGGACUGAGACACGGCCCAGACUCCUACGGGAGGCAGCAGUGGGGAAUAUUGGACAAUGGGCGAAAGCCUGAUCCAGCAAUGCCGCGUGAGUGAAGAAGGCCUUCGGGUUGUAAAGCUCUUUUACCCGGGAAGAUAAUGACUGUACCGGGAGAAUAAGCCCCGGCUAACUCCGUG